rnacentral:rRNA from 1 species
UACGUAGGGUGCAAGCGUUAAUCGGAAUUACUGGGCGUAAAGCGUGCGCAGGCGGUUCUAUAAGACAGAUGUGAAAUCCCCGGGCUCAACCUGGGAACUGCAUUUGUGACUGUAGAGCUGGAGUGCGGCAGAGGGGGAUGGAAUUCCGCGUGUAGCAGUGAAAUGCGUAGAUAUGCGGAGGAACACCGAUGGCGAAGGCAAUCCCCUGGGCCUGCACUGACGCUCAUGCGCGAAAGCGUGGGGAGCGAACAGG